rnacentral:rRNA from 1 species
UACGGAGGGUGCAAACGUUGCUCGGAAUCAUUGGGCGUAAAGCGCACGUAGGCGGUCUGUUAAGUCGGAUGUGAAAGCCCCGGGCUCAACCCGGGAAGUGCAUACGAAACUGGCGGACUUGAAUAUGGAAGAGGGUCGCGGAAUUCCCGGUGUAGAGGUGAAAUUCGUAGAUAUCGGGAGGAACACCAGUGGCGAAGGCGGCGACCUGGGCCAAUAUUGACGCUAAUGUGCGAAAGCGUGGGGAGCAAACAGG